ACCUACGAAGCCACCAAAACGAGCAGCUCAUAAAAAAACCAGAAAGGGCCUGGUAAACCAAAAAAUGUUUUCUUUAUUUCCACCUCUGAUUCCAAACCCCUUUCAGCCACCACCAGCAAUACUUCCUCCCAUCAUCCCUUCGCCACCGCCUUCAAUAUUUCCUCCUUUCUUCCCAUCACCUCCGCCUUCAAUAUUUCCUCCUGUUUUUCCGACCCCUCCACAGCCACCACCUUCAAUAUUUCCUCCAUUUUUCCCUGCACCACCAGUAGCACCUCCUCCAUCAAUAUUUCCUCCACUCUUCCCUCCAAUACCGGGAUUUAGUCCUCCGGUGGUGAUGCCACCACCGCCACCGCCACCAGUCUUCCCAUUUCUUCCACCAGGAUUCCCCGGAGUGCCGCCAGUGGCAAGGUCAAGUCAUUCAGAAGAGACAAAACAUCCUUAAUUAAAUGAAAGUCACAUGCA
rnacentral:lncRNA from 1 species